UGGAAGCACGUGCUUGGUCUGUGGA
rnacentral:piRNA from 1 species